rfam:Triticum aestivum genome assembly, contig: Triticum_aestivum_CS42_TGACv1_scaffold_329869_4BS
AUAGUACUACCUCCAUCCUGAAGUACUUGUCACAGAAAUGGAUGUACUUGUCACAGAAAUGGAUGUAUCUAGAACUAAAAUACAUCUAGAUACAUCCAUUUCUGCGACAAGUAAUUCCGGACGGAGGGAGUACCAU